rnacentral:rRNA from 1 species
GACGAACGCUGGCGGCGUGCUUAACACAUGCAAGUCGAACGGAAAGGCCCUGCUUUUGUGGGGUGCUCGAGUGGCGAACGGGUGAGUAACACGUGAGUAACCUGCCCUUGACUUUGGGAUAACUUCAGGAAACUGGGGCUAAUACCGGAUAGGAGCUCCUGCUGCAUGGUGGGGGUUGGAAAGUUUCGGCGGUUGGGGAUGGACUCGCGGCUUAUCAGCUUGUUGGUGGGGUAGUGGCUUACCAAGGCUUUGACGGGUAGCCGGCCUGAGAGGGUGACCGGCCCCAUUGGGAUUGGGAUACGGCCCAAACCCCCACGGGGGGCAAGGGGGGGGAAAUUUGCCCAAGGGGGGGAAGCCUGGUGGAGGAACCCCGGGGGGGGGAAGGCGGCCUUCGGGUUGUAAACCCCUUUCCCCUGGGACGAAGGGGGGGGGGAGGGAAUGGUGAAAGAACCCCCGGCUAACAUCGG